UUCCUUGCUUUCAGAAAGGCAGAAUCCGCCCUUUUUGUGCUCUUUGAAGAGCUCGUCGUUUUUUAGCAGGACUGACAGAAGCAGCUUGGUGAUUUUAUUUCAGCCAGCGUUCCUGCAAAGAGACCAACAGCAGCUCGGCUCUGAGACCCUCAGCAGCAAAUGGAGCCCGGGGCAAUUCCUGCAGCACAACUGCUGUGUCCUCCGACUGCUGCAGCCUGUUAGUGCUGGAGGAUAAACGGGGGGGAUAAUUAGUAUCUGCGGGCUGAGCAAACGCAGCAGCCCUUCAGGAGAAAGGUGUGACAGAAAUGUGUGUUUUCUUCAGUGCCAGGGCACCGGAGCCUAAUUACAGAAUUAACUACAGAGCGAUGAUGCAUUUUCCUUUUCAAGUGGUUGUGAAGUGCAUUUAGAAGCUGACGACCAGUUAAAUGUGAUGCUGUAGAAGAGAGUGGUGCUGCUAGCCAGAAAUGCCUGGCAUCUCAUCCAGGCUGUGACACCUCUCAGCAGCCUUAGAGCUGUUGGGUUGCUGUGUACACAGUGCACUGCAAUUAUCUAUGGUUAUUUCAGAGAUAGUAAAGGGACGUUCCAAAGAAGAUUGUAGGAAAGGGCAAGGGCACGGAGCUGAUGAAGCCAUAGCCCCAGAGCAAAGGUUUGGCCACUGGAGCAUCCUCAAAGCUCUUGAUAUGGUUGAGCACAGCCCUAUCAGGAGCUGGGGGGCUCUGAUGGGGACUUGAGAACCUCCAGGAGGAACUGGCACUCCAGGAGGUGCCGCUGGUUGUGCCCAUUGCAGGUGGAUGCUGGAAGCACUGCCGUGGUGUGAUGGGAAAUGCCACCCAAGAUAGUUUUUAUAACAAAACUUGAGGCCGAAUUGGGUGAAUGCGGGAGAGGUGGGAUCCCCGUAGCCGGUAGGUGGCACUGACUCAUUUCGCUGCUCAACAGAAGCCUCCCAGCGUUGCAGCCUUCUUCCUGAACCCUGACACCUGCAGCGUUUAGAGGCAGCAAUCAUUAAAAUUCAUGUUCUAAGACAGAGCGCGGCUCUUGCUUCCUUUUGGCACUGUGUGUCCCAGGAUAAAAUUGCCACUGUGUGCACGAAGGAGGUGUGGGGGGUGACCUGCUCCUGAUGCUGGCAGUGCAGAUCUCUCCUAUUUCUGGAGCUUGCACAGUUAGCUGUAAGGCUGAUCCUUGCAGCAAUCCUGCAUCCCCCCAGUUUCCAUCAGGCAGUUAGCGUGGCUUCCUGCUGGCUUUUUUUUCUUCUUUUGCUGGGGAAAGGGCAUUGUCUGAGAGCCGUGGUGUUGGGAGGAAUUCCUGGCUGUGGAGGCAGAGCUGCAUAUUGGGAGUGUGGGAUUUUAAUCAAUGAACAGAUGGGCAAGUAAGAGAUGAAAUGCUUGGUGGUAAAGCUGUCAAACCCGGGUCAAAGCAAGGUUGUUGUGAAAAACGGUUGUGACAUUCUCAGCUGCUCUGCUCGCAUGGCAGAGAGAAACCACAUCCCAGCUCAAGUGCUAGCGAGCAGCUCAGAGACCAAAGGGGUUUUUAAUUAAAGAGGAGAUAGAAGGGUGAGCAGAAAGCUAAAGCGAGAAUACUCUAGCUGCAAACUAAAGACACUGAGCGAGAGGGCUCAGGGCUGUGAGUGAUUUAAGCUUUUAGUGCGAGCAUCCAAGGAGCACAAACGCAAGGCUGAAUGGAGAGCUGAAAACAAAGCUCUGAGAGAGUGCAGGAACAGAGGGCUUUGUUGGCGCUCCUAAUGAAUAACAAGGAAUGAGCUUCUCAGACAGAUUGGUUUGCAGCAAUGGGAAUGAAUGGACAAAAGGAAAACUUUCAAAGCGAUCUGGCAGCUGAGCUCAGUGGGAUUUUUAGCAAAGCUGGGAUGGAGCCGUGCAGAACAGGGAGGGCCCAAGCGAGGCAAUGUGUGGGUAUAAUGAGAGAUGCAGUUCAGAGAGAGGAAGGAAUAAGGAAUCCCAUCUGCGCGGAGGAAAAUCUUUUUCAUUAUUGCACUUGUGGUCAGUGCCACUUUCCAAUCAGCUGUGCAACAUCACUGGUCUGGAAGUGAGGAAGGCUUUGGGGCACAGAAAUCUUUAUCCAAAUGUAGCAGGAAUGCUUCUGGUCCUGUCCCCAGGCAGGAACUGGGGUGCAGCCAUGCAUUUCCCUUAGGCUGGAUGUGCCCCUGAGCCCCGCAGACCUCUCUGCCAAUGAGGGACUCUCCUGCUAUGGCCAUGGGUUUCCUGCUGCAGGGGGUCAGCAAGGUGGGUGCUAUGCACUUAUUUCCAGCCUGUCCUUGAAGCUGCUGUGGAAAUGCUGACUCUAAUCAGAGUCCUUUUGGACUUAACUGCCACAUAGACUUGACUAAUGUGACUCCACACCAGGCAAUCUGGAAAUAUAUUAAACCUGGGAGUUACUGCGGGGGUGAUUUGCAUGUCAAUAACAGAAGGGAAAUCGCCUCCCCCUGCCUCCUCUCUGAGCUUUCAGUGCCAGGUACCCCCAGCUCUGUGGCCAUUUCAGUUGCUUCCCGCAUGCAGCCAAGCCCUCCGGGAAUAAUGAGAGCUUCUGGGGCGUUGUCAGCUUAUUUCUUGCUUUUACUUUCCUGCUCCCUGGCUGAGUGAAGGGCUUGUUCAGCUAGAAAUACGUGGGAGCGGUGCUUCUUAAGCUGCCCAUCGCUCUGGCACACUGUGCAGAGCUUCACUGAUCUCAGAAUACUGGGGGGCAAGGAAACCCUAGGUCAUGGCACGUGGAUGGAUGCUUCUAAUAGGGGUAAAAGCCACCUCCUGGUCCUUCCCAGCUGCUGCAGGAGCAAGGAGGAAUUCUGUGUUCCUGCAGAGCUGCUGGCUGGGGACUUGUUUGCAGGAUACAUCAUCCCAUACUUACAACUCCUGCAUGCUCACAGUCUCCUGGGCUUGUAAUUUAGGACAAGGAGGGCUAAAACAGGCAGGAGGGUAGGUGGUUUGUAGGAGUGGAUUACAAAAGGAGCUGCUUUCCUCUGUGAGAUUGUCAGCUCACCCUCUGCAAGGGUUGUGACAGCUGUCAGAGCUUGGGGAGGGGACCCUGCGUGGCGAGACAGUGGCUGGCUGAGCUUGAAGGUGCUUCUGCCAUCAGCCUGGAAACAGUGCUUUAAGAACAAACCCCCAAAACCUACACUGCCUAGGUCUAGAGAUGACUAGAGCCUCAUUGCUCUUGCUUUUGGUUGUUGUUUGUUUGUUUAUUUGUUUUUUUUUCAGCUGGAGGAACCUUUUGGCAGCAGCAGAAAGAAGCAACAGAGCCAACCAUCCCUGUCCUGCCUGCUUCGUUCUGGGGAACCAGGACCUGAGCCCCACAGCCUUGGGGAGCAUAGAGGCAGAAACCAAGAGUGGAAGGUCCAGGGACAGCUGUGUGCCAUGGAGUGGUGGCUGCAGAACAGGGACAUUUUUCCUUAAAGGUGCCUGGAGAGAGAGAGAGAGAGGGAGGGAGGGAGAGAGAGAGAGAGAGAUGCUCGGUUACCGUGGCAACCGCAGCAGCUGCAGGGAUGCUCGGGAGGCAGUGACUGUGCUGGCAGAGGCUCCUGGGCUGCUCAAUGCCCUCCUUGUGCCUGGGUGAGGGCUGGGGUCCCCCACUGUGCCACCAGGAUGCAGGGCACAGCUUGGCCCUGGGGACAGUGGGGCUCUCCCAGCAGCAGCAGUUGGGUCUCCAGGUAUUCUCAUUGUGAUUUCAGGAGCUGUGCACCACUUUUCUCAGCAGCUGUACUCAGAAACAAGCGAGGCAGAACUCAGAAUAAAUGGAUUUGCAAAGCAGUCUGUGCUGUUCUUGGACCUCAGCACUGCUGAGCUUGGAAAUACGGGGAGGGAGCAAGUGUAGUCCAUGUUUUUUGUCAUGCUCUUAAUUUUCCUGUAUGCUGCUAAAUAAAAUGUCCUCUGAAAUUCUUCCAAAUUAAAAUCCAGGCUCGCCUCUCCCUGCCAGCAGCAGUGCAGCCCCUGUUAUCCUCAGCAGCGUGACUGCACCUUUAUCAGGUUCCUCCAGCACUCUGCAGAAAUCAGGAGUUGUGAAACAUCUCGCUUUAUGCGGCUGCAUUUAAUUACGGGGCAGACGGGAUGGUAAAUCUGUGCUUUUAUGGCUGCUGAAAUGUUGUCUUCAUUUCUACUUCUUGCCUUGCAGCCCAUCCCUGUCUCUGGCAUGCCCCAACCGUGCCUACUUCCUGCAGCUCACAUUGAGCUCCCUGAAUGGGUGGGGAGCAACAUCUGGGGCAUUUCUCCUUGUGCUGCAUCAUUCACGGGUUCCUUCUUGCAUGUGUCAUGCCUAUGACUGGAGGUUGGUCUCUCCUCUGGAGGUCUGGCUGCUUCCUCAGCCCAAAUUAACAAGCGCUGGAUGCUGCAGAGAGCUGUAAUUGCAGCUCGUCUGGGAACGCUUCAGUGCCAGGAGCAAGUCAUAGCCUCAUCUUUUUUAGUUACUUCAUUUGCAGACGUUUUAUGGAGGCUCCUGCUGACAUUUGGGUUCUGCGCCUGAGCAGGAGGCCAGGCAGCUCCUGGCUUCCCAGAACUGCUGAUGGGAUUCUGCGGGAGUCUUUGCUGCAUUUGUGCUCUUGUUCAGCUAUUACAUUUAGUCUCCAGUGAAUACAGAACUGACAGCUGGUAAAGAUUUGCAUAUGGCAUGAAAUUAAGUGAGUUUGUUUUAAUGUCUAAUCUGUGCAAAGCGCAAAUUUGGUUGCUAAAAGCUUUGCUUUGCCUUAUCACUGAUGCCACAUCUGCUUCAUGCAUUGCCCUUUGAUUUCUAAAAGUUGUCUUUCUCUGUACCUUGCCAGGAAGAGCAAUGGGAGUGGAUCUCUGCAAUCUUUCCUGUCCCUACAGACACCCACAGUCGGGGGACGGGGCUGUGAGCACUGAUGGAUCUGUGGGUGUCCCCGUGCACUGCAGGCAGUGGGAACAGACAGCCUUUGGGAGUCCCUUCCAACUCAGAUGACUUUAUGGAUCUGGAAGUCUUUGAGAGAUGUGCUUAGUGACAAGCCAUUUAGAGGCUGGAUGAGGAGCCAGGCAGGGAUGGAGAGGUAGAAGCGUGGGGAACCGAAGACCCCAUAGACCCUCAUGUCUUGGAGAGAGGAGCAAGUCUUAGCAGGAGUUGCACCAAGGCUCUGGUGGACUUAUGCACACCUCUGCUUUAUGGUGCUUACCCCGAAGAUCCCACAUAAGUCCGAACUUUGCUGGGCAGAGGCAGCUCAGCUGUGGACAAUUCCUGCUCUGCCUCAACAACAGCUGUGAAUCCUCCUGCAAAAAGGGGAAGGGGAACUGAGCUGGUGCUGAACAGAGACUCAGCUGGGAGGUGAGGACAAGGAGAGGAGCUGUGGGGCUGUUUGGGGUAUGGUGAGCCCCAGA